GACGAACGCUGGCGGCGUGCUUAACACAUGCAAGUCGAACGGAAAGGCCUCUUUCGGGGGGUACUCGAGUGGCGAACGGGUGAGUAACACGUGAGUAACCUGCCCUUGACUUUGGGAUAACUUCAGGAAACUGGGGCUAACACCGGAUAGGAGCUCCUGCUGCAUGGUGGGGGUUGGAAAGUUUCGGCGGUUGGGGAUGGACUCGCGGCUUAUCAGCUUGUUGGUGGGGUAGUGGCUUACCAAGGCUUUGACGGGUAGCCGGCCUGAGAGGGUGACCGGCCACAUUGGGACUGAGAUACGGCCCAGACUCCUACGGGAGGCAGCAGUGGGGAAUAUUGCACAAUGGGUGGAAGCCUGAUGCAGCAACGCCGUGUGCGGGAUGACGGCCUUCGGGUUGUAAACCGCUUUCGCUCAUGACGAAGCUUUGUGUGACGGUAGUGGGUAAAGAAGCACCGGCUAACUACGUG
rnacentral:rRNA from 1 species